ensembl:misc_RNA 7SK 7SK RNA
AGAUGUGAGUGCAAUCUUGCUGUGACAUCUGUCACCCCAUUGAUUGCCAUGGUUGAUUCUGCUGAUCUGGCCAGCUACGCAGGUGUCACCUUCCUCCCUCACCACUCCAUGUGUGUUCCUCCUGAAACUGUGCACUUGCUUGAAGAGGAUGACCUUUCCCAAAUAGAGGAGGUCUAGUCUUCGAUCAAGGGUAUACAAGUAGCUGCUCUUCCCUGCUGGAAUUUCCAACAAGCUCUCAAGAACAGAAAAUAAUUCUUGGGGAGAAUAUAGUUGGCAUAUAUAUGAACUUUUGCUAUUAUUUUACUGUGAAGU